UUUGGUGGUAAUACGACUUUAGGAAACACCCGUUUCCAUACCGAACACGCAGGUUAAGCUAAAGUCGGCUGAUGGUACUUGGCUGGAGACGGCCCGGGAGAGUAAGUGAUUGCCAAAA
rfam:Epulopiscium sp. Nuni2H_MBin003 Nuni2HMBin003_84, whole genome shotgun sequence.